rnacentral:tRNA from 1 species
AGUAAAGUGCCUGAUAAAAGGAUUAUUUUGAUAGAAUAAAUUAUGUAAAUUAUACCUUUACUU